AGCGAACGUUAGCGGCGCGCCUAACACAUGCAAGUCGCACGGAGUAGCAAUACUCAGUGGCGCACGGGUGCGUAACACGUAGAUAACCUGCCCUUCGAAGGGGGAUAACGUUCCGAAAGGAGCGCUAAUACCGCAUAACGCCAGAUGGUGGGAACACUGUUUGGACAAAGGCUGGGACCAGCAAUGGCCAGUCGUCGGAGGAGGGGUCUGCGGCCCAUCAGCUAGUUGGUAAGGUAAUGGCUUACCAAGGCAGAGACGGGUAGCUGGUCUGAGAGGAUGAUCAGCCACACUGGUACUGGAACACGGACCAGACUCCUACGGGAGGCAGCAGUGGGGAAUCUUGGUCAAUGGGCGCAAGCCUGAACCAGCGACGCCGCGUGAGUGAUGAAGGCCUUCGGGUUGUAAAGCUCUGUGGGGAGGGACGAAAGACUGAGGUCUAAUAGGCUUCAGGUUGACGGUACCUCCUUAGCAAGCACCGGCUAACUCUGUGCCAGCCGCCGCAGUAACAC
rnacentral:rRNA from 1 species